AUUCAAUUGGGCCUACUAGAUUAAUGGGUCUAUGCUGAUUCCCGCCGAUCGCUAAAAGGCUAAAACAAGGGCAGUCGUGACCCUGGUCUGUUUCGCAUUCUCUCACUCCCCAAUGGCGAUCCUCGACAUGCCGCCGCCACGUAUCCCGCUCCUCUCCCCGAGCUCUCUCCCGACCCUGAUGGACCAGAUCUUGCUGAGGUCCACCACCACCGAGGUCCAAAUCCAUGGCUCCUGCAGUCCUUCAGUGCCAUCCAAGAGCUCUCAUCCCAAUCCAUGCCAGAUUCCAGCGGUAGGAGUAUCAAUGAUGGCGCAACAAAGGAGAGCAGAGGAGAUCGAGGAGGGAUGGGCCGUUGUGACGAGAUGGUUGGAGGUCAAGCAGCGGCGCUAGAGACAAGGACCCGCGGCACGCAGAUCUAUCAUCUUCGUCACCCGCACCAUGUGUUUCGCACAACUCGGCACAGCUGUCGACCUGUGGUGUUGGGGUUGCAGGCUCAUGCAUCCUCCUCGCCGGUCCCUCACCAAUCCUCUUGGCACCACAUGUUCCACUGGGAAAGGUUGAACUGGCAGAAGCCAGCGGACUGAGCUCGUCAUCGUGGCAUCAAACCAUACAAUGAAGUCACAGUCCGGCCAAAUCGUUUGCAAGCAUCCAAGAAGCGGCUCAUGGCGUACCAGAUCCGAGGUGACACCACCGCCACCUGUAGCUUGUCCUCCUUGGUAUGAUUCGCCACCCUGUAUCCCCCAAAACCUCACAAGUUUGCAUGUACUGUCCACUCUGAUCAAUAAUCUUGUUCUUCCUCUCUGCUCCGAGGUUAUUUUCUCUUAUUAUCUGGCAAUCUCUGAUGUUACUUUUGAUUUUUGUAGUAUCAUUAGUUUCAUCCUACUGGAGAACAUGGCAAUAUGCAGGGAGUGAGCAUCUAGGAAGAAUGACGUGAAAAUAAAAGAUGCAUUUAUUUGAUGAUAAGAUUAAUACAAUGAUAAUCCCAAAUAUAGAAACAAAGUGAAGAGGAACAAUGUACUGCUCCUAUAAUGUUCAGGCAAAUUUCUAAAAAGAAAACAGUUCAAUCCUAAACUAUAUAUUUGGUGAAGCGAUUAAUAUAGACUUGAAAUUACAAGUUUAGAAUUCGCUUUAGACUUUCUAAUUUAGAAGUAUUUAAGUUUAAAUUCAAUAAGAAUUCUGAACUGCACACACUGUAUAAUGUUGUUCAAGGAAGGAUUGUUUGCAUUUAAGCAGACCACUUUUAUGCCACAUGGGUUGUAAAUAUCCUGCCAGCAACAUUACUUGUUAUUUACCUUGAAGCUAAACAAUAUGGUGCCUUUGGUUCUUCAUGUGUGCCAACUGAUUUCUUAUAUUCUACCUCUGCUUAUUUGCAUCUAUCCUUAAUGUUGCUUCGUUUUCAUUGAGAGGCUAGACUUCAUUUUGGUGCCACUACAACGAUGUCUUUUACUACAAAGUGGAAAAAGGGGUCCAAAACUGAAUAUUGUUAUCCCAACACACUUCUUCCUGGCGUGUGCUUUUAUCAAUAAGAUGCAUGCUUCUGAAGAGAAUGUGAACAACAACCUUUGCUUCUACUAGGUGAAAAUAUGCCUUGAAAGGGUACAUGCAUGGUUUGGAAAGCUAAUUAGUUGGCAAAAGUACAUGCAUAGUUUGGAAAGCCAAUAAUCUUUAGCAAGGAUACAUAGACUCAUUUCUUCUUUUCUUAGACAUUGCUUGAUCCGUUCAAGGGUACAUGCAUGGUUUGGAAAGCUAAUUAGUUGGGAAAGGUACAUGCAUAGUUUGGAAAGCCAAUAAUCUUCAGCAAGGAUACACAGACUCAUUACUUUUUUUGUUUUGUAGACAUUGCUUGAUCCGAAUUAGAAUAAAAGAUCAAUUACCGAGGCUGUACUAAACCACAUAUUUAUUACUGGGCAGUAGUAGUAGUCUCUUAAUUACCCUUCUAAAAUUAAAUUUAAUGUCUACCUAUUAUUAGAGAAUCAGAAAAGCACAAGCUCUUCAAAAGCUUUCUUGCCAAAAAACAAGGCCUUUCAAAAGCUAAUACAUGUAUAUAUGAUCACAUUAUAUGCAUGUUUUUCUUCUUUAAUUUUCAAACGCUUAUAAAUCAUCUGCAAAAGUAGUGUAGCUUCUAACUCUAUAGGUGUUGAACUAAAUACCAAUCCAAGUCAGAGUGUAAAGAAAAUAAUAUAGGUUUUGAUCUGCCGAGAGGUCAUGCAAUGCUUCUCUAUUUCCAUUUCAGGUCGGAUUUACCUCCAAUACAUUGCAUGGAUUCUUGCACAUAUUAUCUACUUUAUUUUUGGAACUUUUAAUUACUUGGAAGUUUUGUUCUCUAUUAAAUAAGUUAUUUGUCUUCUAGAUUGUACAAACGAUUUUCGCUAAUAUGCUGCACACAUCUUCACCAUUGACUGUAAUAUACGUUUGAUUUCCUGAAGCAUAAGAUGAAUCAUUUAUUAUAUAUACAUUUGAUUUCCUGAAGCAUAAGAAUAACCAUGUAUGGUUUUUUUCAUGCGGAAAUUAUUGUGAUAUCAUUUAUCAGAGGUGCACACAUGCAUGAUUUUCUUCUACAGAAAUUUAGAUUUAGAACUUAGAUUCGGCAAUUAUUUGACAUGCCAUGUUGUGUGUACUAUGCCACUCACAAAAAGCAUAGGAUCCAUCAAGCGGCUUUGGCAGAGUUAAUCCGUACGUGGAUGUUUAGCUGAAUCCUGAAGUAUAACUUUUACAGUUUUGUGCAUAUUAUUGUUCAGGUUACUGCAAUUAGUCCACUGAUUGAAGGCUAGAUGUUGCUUCUUGAUCAACCCUAUUAGCUUUUAGAUGUUUUUAAGUUAUAGGGAGAGCUAUUAUGUCGAUUUAUUUUUCGAUAUUUUCAUUUGAAUGUAGCCAAAGCUACAAUUGGACAUAUAGAUUGUAUACAUAACUUCUAUGGAACAACUUUUGUUAGA